rnacentral:lncRNA from 1 species
CCUGGGGCUUCAAAGGAAUACAAAGAAGGGAGGGUGCUGUGGACUGAAUUGUAUCCCCCCAAAUUCAUAUGUUACAGCCCUAACCUCCAAUGUGGCUGUACUUGGAGUAAGGAAGUAAUUAAGGUUGAAUGAGGUCGCAAGGGUGAACCCCUGAUCACCUAAGAUUGCUGUCUUUUUAAGAGCAGACACAAGAGAGCUUGCUUUCUCUCUGCCAUGUGAGGACACAGCAAAGAGAUGGCCAUCUACAAGUCAGGAAACAGGCUCUCGCUAGAAACCAAAUCUGCUGGCACCUUGACCUUGGACUUCUCAGCCUCCAGAACUGAUGACCUCCAGCCCUUCGUCUUCAUCCUGUCCGACUUCCGUGUGACACAACCUUCCAAGGUGUGCUCCAAAGUUAAGAAAACAACGGAAAGAGAGAAGAAAGCUUUACACUGACCUUCGAGGAGCUGUAAUCCUGAGAUCUGAAGAAAGUGUGCUAAGAUAACCCUGUUAAUUAAACUAAUUUUGAUUGGACGUUAUUCAUAUGUUAUCCACUUCCGAAGAUGUUAUUGGCAGCUUCCAACAAAAGAUGCAGACAUAAGAGAGCAAAAAUUCAGUUGUUUAAUCAGAAUUCAAUGAGACCCUAAUGUGUGCAAGGUCACAGGGGUGAGGGAGUUCAGCCUGUGCGCGAGCAGGGCCUUUGGAAUAACUUAUAACUGUGUAACUUGAGCGAGUUAUUUAAUAUCUUUGAGCAUGAGUUUCCUCUUCUGUAAAAGAGAGUUAAUAAUUAUAGUACCUAUCUCGCAGGAUUGUUAUGUGGCUUUAAGUGUCUAUAAAGUGUUUAACACCAUCUCUGGCAAUUAAAUGGGCACUUAAUACACAGGAACUAUUGCUGUGAUUGUUUAUUUUUGUGCUAGGAAAGCAAAUGAUGGAGGGGACAUUGUCCCUGCUCUAUAGGAGACACAGAGGUGGGGAAAGACUUGAUGUGUUGGGGGGGCAGUGCAGAGGGUGCCAAGCGAGCAGGAUAUGAGCAAUGGGAAGAAGCGAGCUAGGCUGUGCAGGGCGUAACUUUGGUUUUAUCCUAUUGGCCAUGAAAACCCACUGAAGCCCUGAGCCACUUGGCAGUUUGGAAAGAUCACUCUGAUAAUAAUGUGGAGGAUGGAUUGGAAUAGGAAGAGACAGGAGGCACUUAUGAGCCUGUUGUAAGACAUGAGGUAGAGAUGGAAAUAAUCUUUUUAGGACUUUGGCAGUGGAGAGGGAAAGUCAGGGACAGAGUCCAAGGCUUAUGCUACUUGGGAUGCUGCACUAGAAUGUCAGCUCCAUGACAUGUGCUCCACAUCAGCUCCAUGAGGGCAGGGGUCUUGGUUUUGUUCACUGAUGUGUCCCAAGCACCUAGAACAUAGCAGGUGCUCAACAAGUUUUUGUUGAAUGAGUGAGUA